rnacentral:rRNA from 1 species
UACGGAGGGUGCAAGCGUUAUCCGGAUUCACUGGGUUUAAAGGGUGCGUAGGUGGGUCUGUAAGUCAGUGGUGAAAUCUCCGGGCUUAACCCGGAAACUGCCAUUGAUACUAUAGGUCUUGAAUUAUCUGGAGGUGAGCGGAAUAUGUCAUGUAGCGGUGAAAUGCUUAGAUAUGACAUAGAACACCGAUUGCGAAGGCAGCUCACUACGGAUCGAUUGACACUGAGGCACGAAAGCGUGGGGAUCAAACAGG